GGAGAGUUGGCCGAGCUGGUCGAAGGCGCUCGACUCGAAAUCGAGUAGACUGUGAUGAGCGGUCUCUAGGGUUCGAAUCCCUAACUCUCCGCCA
rnacentral:tRNA from 5 species